AUAAGCGCCGGGAAUGAAGUUCUCCCAAGGGAAACCUGAACCGCUUAGAAAUGUAAGCUGAUGACUUCUGUGAUGAA
rnacentral:ncRNA from 2 species